GACGAACGCUGGCGGCGUGCCUAAUACAUGCAAGUAGAACGCACAGUUUAUACCGUAGCUUGCUACACCAUAGACUGUGAGUUGCGAACGGGUGAGUAACGCGUAGGUAACCUGCCUGGUAGCGGGGGAUAACUAUUGGAAACGAUAGCUAAUACCGCAUAAUAUUAAUUAUUGCAUGAUAAUUAAUUGAAAGGUGCAAUUGCACCACUACCAGAUGGACCUGUUGUAUUAGCUAGUAGGUGAGGUAACGGCUCACCUAGGCGACGAUACAUAGCCGACCUGAGAGGGUGAUCGGCCACACUGGGACUGAGACACGGCCCAGACUCCUACGGGAGGCAGCAGUAGGGAAUCUUCGGCAAUGGACGAAAGUCUGACCGAGCAACGCCGCGUGAGUGAAGAAGGUUUUCGGAUCGUAAAGCUCUGUUGUAAGAGAAGAACGGGUGUGAGAGUGGAAAGUUCACACUGUGACGGUAUCUUACCAGAAAGGGACGGCUAACUACGUG
rnacentral:rRNA from 1 species